rnacentral:rRNA from 1 species
CACGCCGUAAACGUUGAGAACUAAGUGUUGGGGAGACCCAGUGCUGAAGCUAACGCAUUAAGUUCUCCGCCUGAGGAGUACGCACGCAAGUGUAAAACUUAAAGGAAUUGACGGGGGCCCGCACAAGCGGUGGAGCAUGUGGUUUAAUUCGAAGCAACGCGAAGAACCUUACCAGGGCUUGACAUCCCUUGAUCGCUGUAGAGAUACAGCUUCUCUUCGGAGCAAGGAGACAGGUGG